CCCACCCAUUCCAGAUUGAGCCAAUUGCAAAGAUUUGUUUUGUACCCCAUGGGGGAUUCCAACAUACACUGCAAGGGGAAAUAGAUGUCAGAAAUGCAGUGUUUUAUCACUGUAAGCUAUCUGUCCAGAACCAUAUUUGCUUGCAAUGCACAUCAUUGUAUUAUCAAAUCAUGCCAGUGGACUUCUGGUGAAGCUUAUGGGCAUCCUGCCUACACUGGACCUGAACAACCAUAUCCCAAGAAAGUGUGGUGUCUGGUCCAAAUGCUAAAGCUACUGGCCACAAUACCCUGGCAAGUGUGACGCAGGGUCCAAAUGCCACAGCUGAAGCAACUGCCAACCAUGCCUCUGCAGAAGCAGCCCGAGCCUCAGCUGAAGCAACUGCCAACCAUACCUCUGCAGAAGCGGCCUUGAACAGACGGCCCGACCCCUCGACAAGCUAGAUAGGGAGAUCAUAAUUUGGUUUGCCCAACUCCUUAAUCGUCUUUCCCCUGUUGCUGUGCCUCCAUUUGAAGAAACUUAUGCAUCGUCAUGCAAAUUGUUUACAGGGGUGAACACUACAAUGGUAUGAAUUGUUUUCGUAACCAUACGACUAAAAUUGACAUCUGAUUUGGCCUGGUGUUCCUGCUACUCUUGCAUGAUUUGUUCAAUAAACAAUUUGACUUCCAAAAUGCCGUGUCUUUCAAAUGUGGGUUUCUCUUCUGUCUACCAAACGUUUGCUGAUUGGGGACAGACUGGGUCUGGAGGAAAAGGGAUUGUGGAUCACACCACUUGUGGAAACAGAUUUGUUUACCUUUGUUUCUGGUAGUUGAGGAAAGGUUGACUGCAUUUCUUGUUUUAAUUCCUCAUUGUUUGCAUAGUCAACACACACACUUACCCCACCAGACAUGCCACCAGGGGUCUUUUCACAGUCCCCAAAUCCAGAACAAAUUAAACUCACAGUAUUAUAUAGCGCCAUGAUUGGAUGGAACUCCCUUCCAUAUAGUGCAAGAGACCAGCAACUCGGGUUUAAAAAACAAAACAAAACCUCACGGCACAACGCCUCUCCCCCAUGUGACCUACUGGUUGUGUGUCUGUACUGACAUGUGACCUACUGGUUGUGUGUAUGUGUAAAUGAGAUGCACAAACA
rnacentral:lncRNA from 1 species